GUUCUGCUACCACCUAGGGUACCGGGGGGGGGAGAGAACGCCGCGCGAUCGCUGUAUUGUUAUUAUUACUAUUAUUAUUAUCACUACGGAAAAAAUAUAACUUGUACGAUGAAAGAUAUGCGGAGAGACAAACGGUGACGAAGUUUUUUAACCAGGGUGAACGUUGAUUUUGGACCGAUCGUAGCAUUCGAAACAAUUUCAAACGAUUGUGGGAGGAGUCCGUCUGUUCUACGUUCUACCACCCACGCUCAAAAGAUUUCUGAAGCUUUGCAAGUCCGGACGCACGCACAUAGAUGGAGCGCAACUAACAUUUUAUACUUUUCAUAAAAACUUUCGCAAUAAACGAUGCAGCGCGGUAUGGCAUAACAAUAAUACAUGACUCGAGAGAAUCGAUCCAAGUUUCCAGAAUCCUUCCGUUUGCUGUAUGAUCCAUCAAUUCAUAUUUUCAUAUAAUAUUGAUAAGUAAAUUAUUAACCAGACGUUCGUUUAGGUAUACACGAAAAUCUUUUAUAAAUUCAUGGAGAAUUUGAAAGUAGUAAAAUACAUUUUACACAUUUUUGUCGGUUGCCUGCUGGAAGUCAGAUAUAUUGUUGAAAAGAUAUUUCCAUUUCGUAUUUCAAAUUUCCAGUUGUUAACAUACGGAUGGGGAGGGAAAAACAAUUUUUGUACCAACCAGGACGAAAGGUUAGAAAUAAUAUAAGACCGUCGUCGUCCUUCACAAUCUAGUAACAUUAGUUAUAUACUUUAUAAAGCGAUUUAACACGGUUUUAUAUACAUUGUUACAUUUAGUAAACUCGGAAAGCCGAUACUAUUUUUAAAAAAGUUUCGAGAGUCGAUUAUAUACGUAUAAA